AUUGUGAGCCUGGGUGAGAGAGAGAGACCGAGGAGGAUGGAGGUCUGAUGGGGUUCAUCACAUCUGAGCCAGGACUGGCUUUUCUUGGCUGCAAGCUGAAAGUUGGGUCCAGGUCUGCUGUACUGAGGGUCUCCUAUCUUCCUUGGACAGGGACAACCAGAGGCCUAUUUAUCUCAUGAUGGAAGGCAGGAGAACAAGCAGGCAAGACCAGCUGUGCUAGCACAUGCCACCUCUUUGCCCACGUCACACCUGCUGACGUCCCAUUGGCCAAUGCAAGUCACACAACCAAAGCCAACAUCAACAGGACAAGGAAACAGACUCUGCCUCUAGAUGCACAAACUACAGAGUCACGGACAGAGGACACGGAUCCAGGGAAGGAAGAUGGAGAAUGAGAACAAUGACCCUCAAUAACACAGCCUCCCACAGGUUUCCAAAUCCCCAACCCAGGCAUAUAUCCAAGGAAAUGGAAUCAUGGGUUCAGGUUUUAGAGCAAGCAAUUUCUGCUCUCCCUGCCUAGUUUCCACACCCUUAACACAGGGGCAAUGAUGUCACAUCAAAACAUAUCAUACAAAUUUGUGAUGAUGUUUCAACAACUAAACACCAGAAAAAUGCUUAGGGCAGGGCCGGGUAGGAGGGGCAGAAGCCAAUAGUAACUUAACAUCACUGCUAACCCACAAAGUUCUGGGAAUUUCUUUGAAUGUCUAAUUAGAGAACCAUGUCCCCAAGAAUUAACAUUUCUUUUGCUUUUUUUUGAAUCUGAGAAAAUACUAAUUGUCACAGGGUAGAAUAUUUAUCUGAUGAGCAUAUAGAAGUUAAGGGCUCCUUGAAAUCACAGUGCUAGGUUUGGGUCUCAUUCCUCCUCCUACCUGCCUCUCUGAGCCUCAGUUUCUCAUCUGUAGAAUGGGUACAAUCCCAACCUCAUGUGUUUGUGGCAGUCAGGGUUAAUUGGGCUAAUGAUUCUAAAGUGCUCUGCGCAGGCCUGGCAGGUACUGAGCAACCUUGGGCCAUAGAGAGAGCACUGACUUGGGAGUCAGGAGCUGGGACCUCAGGUCCUAUUCCCUGGGGAUCCGGGAAAAGUCCCUUGGCUUCCCUGAGCUUCAUCUGCCCCACGUGCUAGUGAGGUGGCUAGACCAGUCAGGCCAAGGACGUCCCUGCAGCUAUCUAACUUCUCCUUACUCCCUGUUCAGCAAAGGGCAGGAGCUGGGCCUGGCCAGGCUCCCACAAAGCCCAGGCGUGGCCGUGCUCAGCUCACGACGGGUGUGGGGGAUGCGUUUCUGCCCUCAAAGGACUGAGCUCCAGUUUCUUUCUUCACUGAGUCCUUUACUCUCUGCCUGCGGGUGGUUAUUUAAGACAUCUCCUGCCUGCAGGGGCCUCUUAGAGAACAAACAGAUCGUUCCUUCAGCUGCAGUGCAGGCUUUACUGGGCUUGUUCCUGCAUCAAGUAGACAGAUCCUUCCUGAAUGGAGUCGCCCCACAGGCCCCACACUCGGAGAGGGGCAGCCAGGAGCCUCCGAGGCUCUGCCCAGCCCGUCCUGAAUGUGCUCCCUGCCCUGAGUGGAGCGCUCACAGCUCCCCGCAUCAAGGUUUCUGUCUCCCCAAGGAUCUUCCUCAUAAAAACCCUUCUUCUCCCAGAUCCCACAAACCGACAUUAUAAAAAACACAAACACCCAAUAAGCACCAUGUAAAUUGAUCACAUACAAAUAAUAUCCAAAAAUAAGAACUCGUAUAACCACUUUAAACUAUAGAACAUGUCUGUUGGGAUUUGUGGGAGAUCAUGGAUCACAGGUUCCCCCUGCUCCUGGUUCAGCACUGUGAGAAAUGGAAGUGAGGUUCACCCAGGGACGGGAAAGCGUCAGCUGCCACUCAUGAGGCUGGGGGGCAGGGGAAGCCCUUCAUCCGUGGACACAAACAGGCAUCCUAACAUGACUUCCAUGAGCAGAAGUGGGCAGACAGGGCUGAAAAGCUGACCUUACAAGGCUGAGGACCUGCCUUGAGCUCUGCCUGACUGCAGAGAAGGAAAGUUCUCUUCUUGCAACCUCAAAUCUUCCAGAUAAGAACCAAACGACAUCCGGCCUUUGCGUUCUCUCCACCAGCUCCCGGCUCACCCACCCAGCAGCUCAGCACCUGCGAAAUCCGUCUCCCGAUGCACACUUGCUAACCGCGUGGGUGUGAGCACAACGAUGGGAAACAGCGGAAGUCCCCGGAGUGCAGACUCAGGAGUGAACCUGCCUGAAGAGUGGCGUCUAACGCACACACUGUGGUCAGCUCCACCCCACUAUGGGUCCCGGGAAUAGGAGCAAGUAUGUAUUUUGCUUGCAGGGCAGGUGUUUCAUCCACAUUAUUGCAGGAACAGAUGAAUUUAAUUAAAAGAACACCACAGUGGGCACCUCUUCCAGGGAUGCCUCCCUCUAAGAACAUGACACUGAGAUGAUCAAGGUUCUAAAAGGGCGAUCAAAUCACUCUCCGAAAAUGAAACUGCUCAGACAGAAUGACAAUUAAAUUAAUAACAACCAAGACAAUGCCCAGAUUUCAUCUCCGCUCACAGCCCCUCCUGUGUGCUGUAUGAUCAGGUUCUUGGGGGUGGCUCCAGAUACAGCAAACAGUCAGGAUUAAUCCACAAGAGUGAGCUGUCAGCAUGAGGUUCCCCUACAGUGGAGCUUGCCAAGGUCCGUGGCUCCCAGGGCACCCGUUCCAGGGCUAACAGAUGAAGCAUGGAAAUGCUGUGUGGAGUGAGCUGAGCAGCCAUUCUCAGGAGAAAACAGACAAAUCCUCCUGCACCCUGGCAAACCAGCUUUGUGGCCUGUUUUAUGUCAUCUUUGCUGAGCUCCACCGGGUCACCCCUCCUGCUGGCUUUGUGAUAUUGACAUUUCAGGCACUGGCACAGAUACAUUGGCCUUCCUGGCUGGGAUUUCACGGACGGAGUGAGCAGUGCUGGCUUGGAGGAGCCGUGGCGGCACAGGGCCUGUGCCCUCAGCUGAUCAGUGCCUGUCCUGACCCCAAAGGGCCCUCGCAGCACUGUUUGAAAUUGCUCUUGCCAUGUUUGGAACCGAUUCCUCGGUACGUUUCAGACUCAUUGUUGUGACUUUGGUUUCAAUCCAGGGACACACCGUGGCCAAUGGAGUGUCUCAACAGCAUCUAUGAUCGCUGUUUCCCAGAGACAGCAUCUCAGAUACCGAUGCUGAAAGAGAAACAGCAGCCUGUCCCCAGGUGGCAGGAAAUAGUCCAUUUUAACGGCAAUUUCAUAAGUGGCAGAUGAUUUUUAUUGUAAUUUUCUGGUGAGCUGAUUAAGUGGAGGCAGAGUCAGUUCUGAGGCGUCAAUGUCUUUAACAACUCGGGGAGACCGAGGCCAUGCUCAGCAGGAACACUAAGUCCAUGGAAAACAGGCCCUGGGCCCGCUGAUGUGCAUAAUUCCACGUUUGCCCCCCAUGUAACCAGGAUGGUAAAUUACAGGUGUCAGAUAAUCACGCUCUGGAGUGGCUACUUGAGGAUGCGAUCGACCAAUUUAAGCUCCGUCUGACACAUGAUCAAUAGCCCGUGAUGCUGCAUGGAAUUGCAGGCACAGCGUCCAAACCUGCAGAGCAGUGGCUCCCAGCUGUGGCAACUUUGCCCCCCAGAGGACAUUUGGCAAUGUCUGGAUAUGUUUGCAAUUGUCACAACUAGGAGAGGGGGAUGCUAUUGGCAUCUGGCGAGUGAGGCCAAGGAUGCUGCUAAACCUCCCAUGAUGCACAGGAGAAGUCCCCACACAGACACAUCCUGCGCAGACUGUCCAUAAAGCUUAAAUGAGAUGCUCUGACUUAGAGCCACAGUGAACAUUCCAUUCCAUCGUCUGGGUAUCUCCAGGGAUGUACGUAGCUGGAUGUCUAGCUUUUCAUCUGGGUAUGACCGGCCUCACGCAGAAUCAAAACCAUGUGUAGGUCGAAUCUCUUAUUUGCUCUCCUGCUUCCUUUCAUUGUAAUAUUCUCCUUCUCAUUAGUAUUUUCUGUUAUUGGAGGAAUGGUAAGAAAACAUAAAAUGCUGGAGAGUUACGAUUUUGUUUCUGUCAAUAAAAAAGUAAUUUGCCAGUGACUCAUAAAAAGCAGAAAAUUAAUUAGAGAAGACAUGAGAUCUAUCAAAAAGCUGAUCAGG
rnacentral:lncRNA from 1 species